UACGAAGGGGGCUAGCGUUGCUCGGAAUGACUGGGCGUAAAGGGCGCGUAGGCGGAUGGCUUUGUCGGGCGUGAAAUUCCAGGGCUUAACCUUGGGGCUGCGUUCGAGACGGGUUGUCUUGAGUGGGGAAGAGGGUCGUGGAAUUCCCAGUGUAGAGGUGAAAUUCGUAGAUAUUGGGAAGAACACCAGUGGCGAAGGCGGCGACCUGGUCCUUUACUGACGCUGAGGCGCGAAAGCGUGGGGAGCAAACAGG
rnacentral:rRNA from 1 species